rnacentral:rRNA from 1 species
GACGAACGCUGGCGGCGUGCUUAACACAUGCAAGUCGAACGGAAAGGCCCUGCUUUUGUGGGGUGCUCGAGUGGCGAACGGGUGAGUAACACGUGAGUAACCUGCCCUUGACUUUGGUAUAACUUCAGGAAACUGGGGCUAAUACCGGAUAGGAGCUCCUGCUGCAUGGUGGGGGUUGGAAAUUUUCGGCGGUUGGGGAUGGACUCGCGGCUUAUCAGCUUGUUGGUGGGGUAGUGGCUUACCAAGGCUUUGACGGGUAGCCGGCCUGAGAGGGUGACCGGCCACAGUGGGACUGAGAGACGGCCAAGACGCCUACGGGAGGCAGCAGUGGGGAGUAUUGCACAAUGGGCGGAAGCCUGAUGCAGCAACGCCGCGUGCGGGAUGACGGCCUUCGGGUUGUAAACCGCUUUCGCCUGUGACGAAGCGUGAGUGACGGUAAUGGGUAAAGAAGCACCGGCUAACUACGUG